GCUGGCGGCGUGCUAAUACAUGCAAGUCGAGCGGACCGACGGGAGCUUGCUCCCUUAGGUCAGCGGCGGACGGGUGAGUAACACGUGGGUAACCUGCCUGUAAGACUGGGAUAACUCCGGGAAACCGGGGCUAAUACCGGAUGCUUGAUUGAACCGCAUGGUUCAAUCAUAAAAGGUGGCUUUUAGCUACCACUUACAGAUGGACCCGCGGCGCAUUAGCUAGUUGGUGAGGUAACGGCUCACCAAGGCGACGAUGCGUAGCCGACCUGAGAGGGUGAUCGGCCACACUGGGACUGAGACACGGCCCAGACUCCUACGGGAGGCAGCAGUAGGGAAUCUUCCGCAAUGGACGAAAGUCUGACGGAACAACGCCGCGUGAGUGAUGAAGGUUUUCGGAUCGUAAAACUCUGUUGUUAGGGAAGAACAAGUACCGUUCGAAUAGGGCGGGACCUUGACGGGACCUAACCAGAAAGCCACGGCUAACUACGUGCCAACAGCCGCGGUAAUACGUAGGUGGCAAGCGUUGUCCGGAAUUAUUGGGCGUAAAGGGCGCGCAGGCGGUUUCUUAAGUCUGAUGUGAAAGCCCCCGGCUCAACCGGGGAGGGUCAUUGGAAACUGGGGAACUUGAGUGCAGAAGAGGAGAGUGGAAUUCCACGUGUAGCGGUGAAAUGCGUAGAGAUGUGGAGGAACACCAGUGGCGAAGGCGACUCUCUGGUCUGUAACUGACGCUGAGGCGCGAAAGCGUGGGGAGCGAACAGGAUUAGAUACCCUGGUAGUCCACGCCGUAAACGAUGAGUGCUAAGUGUUAAAGGGUUUCCGCCCUUUAGUGCUGCAGCAAACG
rnacentral:rRNA from 2 species